AGAAUCUGUAUGGUUUCAAAGAACAGGGAGCGCUCCUGGAGUGCUGUGAACCCUUUGAUGUUGCAGAGGCAGCUGAGUCAAUUCAGUGCUGAGGGCACGCUUGGGCCAUUUAACCCCACAGCCUAGCCUAGUAUGGCCAGCUCUGCCUCUGCCGUGUUUCUUUCAGGUUCGUGGAGCAGAAUGCAAAGCAAAACUUUCAAUAUAGCCCAAAAGCACUGAACAUGAAUGCUGCUGCGUUUCCCUCGACGGAAAAUGCGUGUGAGGACCCAGCGUGCUUGGGCAAAUCCAAAGUGGGGAUUCAGACAAAGGAAAAAUAAAUGUCAAGUUCUAUGCCAAAGCUUUCUUUAGCUAUUUCAGAGUUGUACAUAUUCCUAGCUCAUCCUCUUACAAAAUGGAUUGGUAACACACACAGCUGGAACUGUAAAUGGAAGUUCAAGAAAAUCAUCUUUAUAUCAGGUCAGCAUCUCACUGUCCGGUGUUCCUUUAGCGUACAGUAACCACAGAGAAUAAAAGCUGUGCAUUGUGAGCAUGUGAUGAGACAAGUGUUACUGGGUGUGCAAAAUUUGGAUUUCCUGAUUUGAUGAUUUGUUGUGUAAGUAUUUACUUUUAUUAUUAAUUCAAUCCAGAAGUUCUCCCUGCAUGAAGACCUACCAUACAUGUUAGUUUUCACUGUGGUAGCAGCAAAUAAAUGCUUUCAGGGAAAAUGUUUAUGGAAGCGGGGGUACGGUUAGCCCUUUUAAAUCAUACUCCAUUAAGUAUGUGAAAUAGCAGGACUGCAAGAGUUACGUUUUGACUUCUGUCUAAAACAAGACCUGUUGCAUUUUCAAGAUAACAGCUUAUCAUAACUAACCACUUUCAUCUUUAAAAUCCAGAUUGACAAAAAUAGUGCAACAUCUGUCUCCAUGAAUUAAAUCUGAUUUGCGUUAGGUAAACAAACAUAAAAGACUCUUGGCAGUUGUCUUUCUUCUAUCCCUUGCUGCUGAUUUGUCCAAAUAAACAACUUCAGAGAUUUUCUGUGUGUCUUACCAGCUAAGACGGCAUUGUAUCUAUCAUGAGGCUCUUCUGAGAUUGAUGUGUAGGGGCUGCUAUUUUUCACUAGAUGAUAGUUCAUUCUUUAAUUCUACGACCAUGCUUACCACAAGCAGUUUGCUAAUUUCAGGAUUGGAUGGGUUUUUCUUUAUUGACAAAAUUGAAUAAUUGCAGUCCCAGUAAUAUCAACGUCAUGACACACUGUCCUGUAAGCACUGCUCAGAGACUGCAAAGUGUUUUACAUCUCUGAAAAGUCUCAUUUCAAGACACUUAUUGUGGCACCAGACAAACCGCAAGCCUGAUAGCAUAUGCUACAAGUGUAUAGUGCUUAGCUUUCUGUAUUUCGUGACUUCAAGAUGCCCGGCAGGUAGAUGUUUUCUGCUCAGAUGGAGGUAAGUGGUACAUGCAGAGUUCAAAAUCAGAUCUUCUGCACAUAUGUGAAGUAUUACAUGCCAACGUAUGUACAGGAAUUGCAAUCAGACCUGCUCACUACCCGAGUGAUGAAGAGCUCUCUGCCCCAUGUAUCAUUUAUCUGGCCAAGAGUUAACGCUCUGAACUGAGCUUGGGUCUUCCAAACAAUGUAACUCGGCUUUGAUGCUGAGCUCAAUAAAGUUAUUUAGAGGCUGUUCUGACUUCCAUGAGACAAGAUUAUGUGCCAUGUCACUCGUAAAUCUAAGUUCACAAAAGAGAAGAAAAUAAAGGCUAUUUUUUUUAUUGUUCUCAAGGGUUGGGCUUUUUUGGCCUGGUUUGUCAAUAGCAGUUGCUGUCUUUAUAACUCGCUGAAUUCAGAAAACAAAGAAUCAGCUUAGUUUUAUUCUGAAGAGAACAGCCUAGGAAUUAACAAUAACAGAAAUCUGAAUUCUGUACUGAUGGAGGAGAGCUCAGAAUUAAGACUUGGACUGACCUGUCCAAGAACAGCACAGAGAACAGUGGCAUGGAAAUGUGAGCUGUAAAGUCAUAUGCUGGCAUGGGCUUCAUGCUUCCCUACUGCUUCACCUGCAUAGUUGGUCGUAAGUGCUAAAGCAAUGCAUUUGACCUUGUUCUAAGGCUCAGUGAAGACUCCGUGGAACUACUCAGCUUUAAAGCCUUUGCUUUAUUUGGCUGCACAUCCGUGAAGCACAUGUACUGUUGCAUUAAAAUCUCAAGUGCCUGUGGUUUCACAGCACAUUCGUGCUAGGGCUGGAGAAAGGAAUCCUCUGAACAAGUAAUUCUUUCAGCUACCAGUUACACCUCUUCACUGACUACAGUUUCAUAUUCAGCCAUCUUAUGUAAGCCAGAAACACACACAGUGUCCUUAUUGCUAUGUAAGGUGCUCACACUGAUCAUCUGUAUGAAAAAAUUCCGAGCAUCACAUGAUCUGAAACUUUUACUUUUGUUCUCAUCUUACUUCUGGAUCAUUGUAAAUUUUCAGAAUACUGACACGAGAUGCACACUCAUAAAUGUUAGAUACGUUAAUUUGGCAGCUCAAUGGCAAUCUCACUUUCAGUAUUUCAAGCUUGAUUUUUCAUUUAUUUUAGUAUGAACAUUUUGUAUUGAUUACCAUGGGUUGUACACUCGUUCUGUGCACUGCUUUUCUUUUAUGCACAAUGUCGCUAAAGGAAAUCGUUUAACUGCUGAGCCAGUGUUCUAUCUGAUAGAUAAAAGUAAAAAUAUUCACUCCAAAUAGAUAGAGGUUUUCAUUGGAUGGUGAGUAAGGCAAAAGAGAUCAUAGAGUAGCUUUAUCUCUGAAUUGUGUAAGUUAGUAAAGCAGCACAGUGUUAGUAAGGCUUCCAUGGUUUGUAUGUGUGGUGGAAGCAAUUUAGAAUAUCCUUUAAUAUGUGCGUGUGGUGCCCAUAAAUGUAAGAAUGUAAGAUUCUGGUGAAAGAUAAUUUUGCCAAGUCCUUUAAGAACUCUUACAGGUAAUCAUCUGAGCUGUAACUAAGGAGUCUCAGCUCUGGUUUUGGAAUUAUAUCAACCAAGUGUACCAUAUACGGUCAUUUUAGCUGUUGUAUUAAAACAAUUUAAAUAAUAAAACGUGACAAAUUCAUUGCAUAGUUUAUGCAAAAGUUUCUGAUACGGCAGAAAAGUUCAUAUUCGUAUACCAUAAUUCUUAUUUCUUGAAUUUAAGACAAGGAUUCUUUUUAUUCUGAGUAACACAGUUUUUAUUGAUUUCUUUGUUUCCUCAGAUCUGCAGGCUGCAGCGUCACCUAUCAGCAGGAAACUACCAGCUGAAUCUGUUUUCAAACCAGCCUGUGAUGUUUGUAUCUCCCACCAGCCAGCCACCCUGCAAAAGCUGAUGGAGCUUAUAGAGCUGUCAGGAGGAAAAAUAUGUAAAGCCCUACGUCAGGCAAAAAUCUGCAUAGGAAAAUACCCAGGAAAGAAGUACCAGGAAAUAAAAUGUUUAUCAGAAAAAUGGAUUUUAGAUUCAAUCACUCAGCAUACAGUAUGUCCUAUGGAAAACUACAUUUUUCAGCUGUGAGCUAACUCAAGAGCUUCCAUAUGGCUGUAAGGAAACAAGCCCACUUUGGCCUCAACAACUAACUAAGCUGUGAAUAAAAUUUCUAAGAGAAUGCUAAUUACAUAUUUAUAAAUAUAGUUAAAUGCUUUUAUAUUUUUAUUACUUGUGAAAAUGAUGAUUUUUGUUUCCUUUUAAUAAAGUUCUUUGAUAAAAGUCA